rnacentral:lncRNA from 1 species
UUAUUUUUAGAUUUAAUAUAUAUAAAACAUACAUAAUAUAUAUAUGAUACUUUUAAGUUCGUUUAAAUACUUGAAAAUAUAUACAAAUAAUCAAACGUAAAUAUCUAGAAUAGUUAAAAUAUACUCAAAACUCCAAAAAUACUUAAAUAAUUAUUAAUUCUCUAUCCAAAUAUUUAAACCAACCAAUUUAAAUUGGUUAUCCAAAUCCGAACCGAAUCC